AAAUGUAGCUUAACUAAAGCCCCUCGCUUACACCGAAAAAAUGUUUGUUUAACCCAAACCAUUUUGA
rnacentral:tRNA from 1 species